CCUACGGGAGGCAGCAGUGGGGAAUUUUGGACAAUGGGGGCAACCCUGAUCCAGCAAUGCCGCGUGAGUGAAGAAGGCCUUCGGGUUGUAAAGCUCUUUUGUCAGGGAAGAAACGGUAGUAGCUAAUAUCUAUUACUAAUGACGGUACCUGAAGAAUAAGCACCGGCUAACUACGUGCCAGCAGCCGCGGUAAU
rnacentral:rRNA from 1 species